GAGUUUGAUCCUGGCUCAGGAUGAACGCUAGCGGCAGGCCUAACACAUGCAAGUCGAACGGUAACAUAAGAGCUUGCUCUUGAUGACGAGUGGCGCACGGGUGAGUAACGCGUAUGCAAUCUACCUAUAACUGAGGGAUAGCCCAGAGAAAUUUGGAUUAAUACCUCAUAAUAAUAUUUUUUGGCAUCAUUAAAUAUUUAAAACUCCGGUGGUUAUAGAUGAGCAUGCGUUCUAUUAGUUUGUUGGUGAGGUAAAGGCUCACCAAGACUACGAUAGAUAGGGGGCCUGAHAGGUGAUCCCCCACACUGGUACUGAGACACGGACCAGACUCCUACGGGAGGCAGCAGUGAGGAAUAUCGCACAAUGGAGGAAACUCUGAUGCAGCCAUGCCGCGUGCAGGAUGACGGCCCUAUGGGUUGUAAACUGCUUUUUUACAAGAAGAAACCUUGGUACGUGUACCAACUUGACGGUAUUGUAAGAAUAAGCACCGGCUAACUCCGUGCCAGCAGCCGCGGUAAUACGGAGGGUGCAAGCGUUAUCCGGAUUUAUUAGGUUUAAAGGGUUCGCAGGCGGAAUUUUAAGUCAGUGGUGAAAGCCUAUAGCUCAACUAUAGAACUGCCAUUGAUACUGAAAUUCUUGAGUAUAGAUGAAGUGGGCGGAAUAUGUCAUGUAGCGGUGAAAUGCAUAGAUAUGACAUGGAACACCAAUUGCGAAGGCAGCUCACUAAACUAUUACUGACGCUCAUGAACGAAAGCAUGGGGAGCGAACAGGAUUAGAUACCCUGGUAGUCCAUGCUGUAAACUAUGAUCACUAGAUGUUGGCGAUAUAUUGUCAGUGUUUUAGAGAAAUCGUUAAGUGAUCCACCUGGGGAGUACGUUCGCAAGAAUGAAACUCAAAGGAAUUGACGGGGGCCCGCACAAGCGGUGGAGCAUGUGGUUUAAUUCGAUGAUACGCGAGGAACCUUACC
rnacentral:rRNA from 1 species